ensembl:lncRNA
UGGAUUUGCGUAAGGUAAGCAAUGAGAAGGAAUGUUUGAAAAUGUGGAUGAUGGAAGCAGAAAUGAGGGAAAAGAAAGUUGCUCUGGAAGAGUUGCCUAGAGAAGUGCCUGUUAAUGGAAGAGAGAAAGAAAGGGAGCCUGACGCAGUGUCUGCUCAGCGCCUCUUCCGUCUCUGUAUAAUACAUAGAACAAUACGUGAACAGGGAAAUUAUGCUUUAUUUGUCAUGCUUCUUGUGCGCCAGUACAGGCUGCUUUGCAGGGCUUGAAAGUCGAUCCCGACCUGGACUCCUUUCCUCCCAAAUUCCACUCUCCACCACACAACCCACUGCCACCAGACGCCGGCGUCAGUUCACUGGCUGAGGAGCAGCAGUCCCGCCGGGAGGAAGCAGGAGAAGUUACACCCAAACUUGGUAGAAGGUCAGGAGAUGCCCUCCAAGCAUAUAACUCUUCGUGGGCUGAAGAGACGAAAGACAAAAGACGGGAACGGAGAAAUGAGAGGGGAAAGUGGAGAAAUUAGGACAGACGUCGUGCAUAUUACGUCCUGCCCGUUGCCACAGAUCAGCCUGAAUAUUGUCCUACUGAUGACAAGCGGGACGAUAAGGAGGAUGAAGAUUGCAGCAAGAAAGAUGAACAAAUUGUGCGGGGAACUCAAAGACAGCGACAGGCGAGAGGAGAAGACCUGCGGCUCCCGAUGGUAGAAGUGACGGGGCCUGAGGGGCCCAUUUUGGUCCACAGACCAUGGACACGCAGCAUGGUGAUUCACUUGGCCGGUUGUUUAUUACUCAUCUAAUCCCAGCCCGGUGGCUGCAGGCCUGCCUGGAUGCCUGCGAGAUCGAUCAACUGGAGACCAGACAACAAACGACGGAGGCACCAGACGAAUGCAAUCAAACGAUGAGUUUAUUAACACAGGAGAGGCAACAUCUGCAUAUGUCGUUCUCUGACAAAAAUUCAUCAAAAACUGGUUUUAUACCAUGGAACAUUAACGCCCACACAUAUACGUCAAUACAAGUCAAAAAUACAUAGUUGACAGACAUGAGCGCAUCUUAUACAUUUUAAUAACUAUAAACAGUCAUAUAACUUCUCUUUUCUAUAACACCUGCCUUUUAAGGUAAUAAACUUCAAGCUUCGGGAUCGUUAAAAGCUAAUAAUUGACCCUCGUCACCA